GCAGUGUACCCGCGGCAAGACGGAAAGACCCCGUGAACCUUUACUAUAGCUUGACACUGAACAUUGAGCCUUGAUGUGUAGGAUAGGUGGGAGGCUUUGAAGCGUGGACGCCAGUCUGCGUGGAGCCGACCUUGAAAUACCACCCUUUAAUGUUUGAUGUUCUAACGUGGACCCGUAAUCCGGGUUGCGGACAGUGUCUGGUGGGUAGUUUGACUGGGGCGGUCUCCUCCUAAAGAGUAACGGAGGAGCACGAAGGUUGGCUAAUCCUGGUCGGACAUCAGGAGGUUAGUGCAAUGGCAUAAGCCAGCUUGACUGCGAGCGUGACGGCGCGAGCAGGUGCGAAAGCAGGUCAUAGUGAUCCGGUGGUUCUGAAUGGAAGGGCCAUCGCUCAACGGAUAAAAGGUACUCCGGGGAUAACAGGCUGAUACCGCCCAAGAGUUCAUAUCGACGGCGGUGUUUGGCACCUCGAUGUCGGCUCAUCACAUCCUGGGGCUGAAGUAGGUCCCAAGGGUAUGGCUGUUCGCCAUUUAAAGUGGUACGCGAGCUGGGUUUAGAACGUCGUGAGACAGUUCGGUCCCUAUCUGCCGUGGGCGCUGGAGAACUGAGGGGGGCUGCUCCUAGUACGAGAGGACCGGAGUGGACGCAUCACUGGUGUUCGGGUUGUCAUGCCAAUGGCACUGCCCGGUAGCUAAAUGCGGAAGAGAUAAGUGCUGAAAGCAUCUAAGCACGAAACUUGCCCCGA
rnacentral:rRNA from 3 species